CAUACGACGGUAAAGCUGAUAUGUGGUCAUUAGGCGCUGCUCUAUGAGCUGGCUACAUUACGCGAGGCUACCCUUAUGAACAGGUGCACGUCGAAGGAGAGUAUAGUAAGGGGUUCAAUGAGGCUGUAAUAUCUAUGCUAAGUCGGGACCCCACGAAACGACCCAGUGCUGCAGAUCUGCUGAUAAACCCUUUCCUACGAGCGGUGGCCGGGCCCAGGAGCUAGUAACGGCACCACUGGCCGGGCUCAGGAGCUAGCGCCACCACUAUUGGCAGGGCCUCCAGCAUCAUCACCGGUGGUGGAGCCUAGGAGCUAGCAGCAUACCAGUACUUGCCGAUUUGUUUGCGGGAGUCGAGAAUACUCCUGGACCCGCCUCACAUAGACCACUUUCAUCGACAUCACUGAUUUUUGGCCUCUUGGGCCUUAUUAUCUGUACUCCUGAAACUGUGUACUGAGUUUGCCUCUACCACUGCUUCAUCAAAGUCAUUCCACUUUUCAACCACCCUGAGACAAGAAAUAUUUCCUUACUGUCGAAUGAAGGAGGGCCAUUACGAAUGUUUCACCUGUACACUAGUCAAGAAUAUUUCAGUCUUUAAAACAGGGAUAAAAAUAAAUUCUCGGACUAUAUACUCCGAGAGGUAGUCAUUAUAUGCCUAGUUCUUGGGUCCAAGUUUCCUCAUCGAACUCCAGCAGACUCACCUUCAGUUCCAUCCAAGGAGAGUAGGUGAAGAAUUUGACAUCCCUUACAGCAGACACAACCAUUCCACGAUCCCCGAGGUCAGCUCACGUCUGGGCAGAACCGCAGAAGAUAGUCAUGACCUAAAGGGUGAAAAGAUUGAUCAUGAAAUUAAAGAUUAUAUGCUACGCUAGAGUGUAUCAGGAGCCCCAGCAGACAGACUCCGCCAUAUAUCCACUGAAAGUGUUAAGAUCUCGGUCACAUUGGCUUCAUAUUGCUUGACAAAUAUAUGGUAAUCUGAUUUUUGCUACAAACCUUAGUCUUCGAGGAACAUUUAUAAUUUUUUAUAGGCUAUUACGAUAAAAGCGGGGUUCGUAAAUUACAUGUCUUAUAUUAAGAUUAAUAAAUUCGAACACUGUUA